rnacentral:rRNA from 1 species
UCUGGCUCAGAACGAACGCUGGCGGCAGGCCUAACACAUGCAAGUCGAGCGGAUCCUUCGGGAUUAGCGGCGGACGGGUGAGUAACGCGUGGGAAUAUGCCCUUCUCUACGGAAUAGCCUCGGGAAACUGGGAGUAAUACCGUAUACGCCCUUUGGGGGAAAGAUUUAUCGGAGAAGGAUUAGCCCGCGUUGGAUUAGGUAGUUGGUGGGGUAAUGGCCUACCAAGCCUACGAUCCAUAGCUGGUUUGAGAGGAUGAUCAGCCACACUGGGACUGAGACACGGCCCAGACUCCUACGGGAGGCAGCAGUGGGGAAUCUUAGACAAUGGGGGAAACCCUGAUCUAGCCAUGCCGCGUGAGUGAUGAAGGCCUUAGGGUUGUAAAGCUCUUUCAGCUGGGAAGAUAAUGACGGUACCAGCAGAAGAAGCCCCGGCUAACUCCGUGCCAGCAGCCGCGGUAAUACGGAGGGGGCUAGCGUUGUUCGGAAUUACUGGGCGUAAAGCGCACGUAGGCGGACCGGAAAGUUGGAGGUGAAAUCCCAGGGCUCAACCUUGGAACUGCCUUCAAAACUAUCGGUCUGGAGUUCGAGAGAGGUGAGUGGAAUUCCGAGUGUAGAGGUGAAAUUCGUAGAUAUUCGGAGGAACACCAGUGGCGAAGGCGGCUCACUGGCUCGAUAC